UGGAGAUUUUCCUUUUACAGUGUGUUUAAUGCAAUCUUCAGUGAUGACCGUCUUUUUAAAGCCAUAGGUUUCCUUUAACUGUCGGGAGUCUACAGAUAUUCUCGACAUUCCAAAUGUAAGAUCUGGCCAGAUGAAAGGAAAGAGGCAACUGAUCAGGGAGAAGAUGGACUAUUGUUUUGAAAGAUAGAACAUCUCAGGAUGGGGCAAUAUUUGGUGAGCACCAUAUUGGAUUCUACCAAAUUACAAAUAUGUUCCAGGCUGCUUUCAUCUGCUACUGACAAAGCCAACAAGUAAAACAAACAAACAAAAACCCAAAACUAAACAAAAAAGAACAAAUGCCAAAGAAUACUCACAGAACUACCAAAUGAUUCCCUGGGCCCCUGAAUCAGAGGGAGCUGAAUCGUUCUGGCUGCUAACUGAGUGCAGGGUGUUGGGAAAAAGUGCCAUUGUGUAAGUUAAGGAAAGGGUCAGAAAAUAAAAAAAACAGCACAUGUGUUAAAGAGCUUCUGUGCUGGGAUUCUCCUUUUAAGCUAUCCGAAGGCACGAAUCAAGAACUGCAACCUUGGAGAUGUGACAAAUGAACCCAAUUCUAGUGUUGUGUUUUAUUUUAAAGUGAAAUUCCACUGUUUCCCAAGAAUUUGCACAUGAAGCUUUACAUAUUUUUCAUGUCAGCCCCCUUCCUUGCCAUCUUUGUUUUUCAGCCUGCCUCCCCCAUAACAGCUGGACACAUCACCGUUCCAUUUUUCUAUUGGUUGUGACUGAAGUAGCUUGAGGUCAAUUAUUUCCCCAGCAAUUGACAAAGAAUCUUGAUGAAGAGGAAAGUGACAUUGUCCCUUGAACAACACUGCUCCCUCCUCCCCCUGCCCUCCUGGCUGAGAGGAGAGAGCAGGGCAGACUUUCCUUUUGCAAGGAGCCCAGCAGGGCGGUGGCGGUGGGGUCUGUGGAAGUGCGUGGGUAACAUAUGGUAAGUGGAGAAAAUAUUUAUAUUCAUAGUGAAAGAGCAGGAGAAGAUCCAAAGAAGGUCAUUCCACAGAGAUUUCAAGAGACACUGACUUGAUAUUGUGUCUUUGACCUGGAUACAACAGAGAAUUUAAAGAAAGAGCUUUCUUUUGUUGCUUUCCUGCCACCGCCACUCCCAACAAUCCGAAUUACUAGCAAUUUAAAAAAGAAAAUAUUCCUCCCCCAAAACUUGAUGGAAGCGUCACACAGCCCGGGCCAGGCUGCCACGACUUCUCCCCUCCCUCUGCGCCUGGCCCCCAAAACCAGACCGCGGAGCGGCAGUCCUGAGCCCGUCCUGCCGGCGGUGUUUGUUGUCGUGACUGGGCGUCUAGGUGGGAUGGAUCGGGCAUUUGGGGCGACUGGUUCUCGGGGGAAGAUAUAAUGAGUCGGUGUCAGAUUACUUUCUGAUGAGACACAUGAAACCUCCAGUGCUUUAGUGCUUUCAGCAGGCAUUUUGCAUCACAGCUUCCAAGAAAGGUAAAAGGCCCUCUUUCGGUACCCCAGUGGCAAAAUUCGCAGCUGUGGCUCAGUACCACCAUCAAAUGCGCGCAGGGCUCCGGGGCCCGAGGCGUCCUCAGGUACCCUCGAACCGCCCACACGAGAACGGACGGACGGACACGUGCGCGUCUGGUCACCCGGACUAGCAGCUGCUGGCGUCCCCUCUCCCGCGCCCGGCGGCGGCCCCGAACGGAGACCAGCAGAGAAACGCCCCAUCUUGCCGUCGAAAGUUUCCCCCCUUUCCCGGGUGUGCGGGAACAAAUGGCGCGAGGGCAGGAAGGUGUGAAGCUGGGUUUUGCCAGAGACCCACCGUGGCUCUUCAUUCACUCCCGUUUGGGAACUGCUGGCUUUCCACUCGCCCCAGACUCCAGUUCCCGAGGGGGAGGGAGUGAGAUGGGAUACAGGUGUGUCUGGGCCUCCGCUUGGGAGGGGCUCUCCCACUUCGGGACCCCUAGCGGAGCAGCCCCUAACCUAGCGGCCUGAGGCACAGAGGCCACGCUUAAUGGAUUCUUGCAGAUAAAAGGGCCUGACGACCUCUCUUUCCUAUAAUGGCCCCUGAGGCAACUGUCUUAAAGAGGAAACAAAGGGAUUGU